rnacentral:ncRNA from 1 species
GUAUUAUAUGAAAGAAGAUAAAGUUAACAUUCUCCUUGACAAGGAUUAUCAAGUAUUCCUAGAAGAGUAGAUUUAUAUUAUUUUUU